rnacentral:rRNA from 1 species
AUUGAACGCUGGCGGCAGGCCUAACACAUGCAAGUCGGGCGAGCGGCGGACGGGUGAGUAAUGUAUGGGGAUCUGCCUGAUGGCGGGGGAUAAAUAAUGGAAACGGUAGCUAAUACCGCAUACCAUCAAAUGAACCCAUAUGGGAUUAGCUAGUAGGUGGGGUAACGGCUUACCUAGGCGACGAUCCCUAGCUGGUGUGAGAGGAUGAUCAGACACACUGGGACCGCGACACGGCCCAGAUUCCUACCGUAGGCAGCAGUGGGGAAUAUUGCACAAUGGGCGCAAGCCUGAUGCAGCGACGCCGCGUGGGGGAUGAAGGCUUUCGGGUUGUAAACCUCUUUCGCUAUCGAACGGGUAGGUGGAGAAGAAGCGCCGGCUAACUACGUGCCAGCAGCCGCGGUAAUUC